rnacentral:lncRNA from 1 species
GAAGCACCCUCCCUCCCUCCCUCCCCUUUUGUGCUUUUAGUGGUUCAGUUUCAGUCACCUCCAUUAGGGUGUGGGCUUUCUCACAUGGUGACCACCAGCAGCUUCCAAGCCCCUGAUCCACAGCUUCUACUGGCAGAAAUAGUCAUCUACUCUUUUAGUGCCCAUUCAAAAAUCCUAAGGACAAACCCAUCUGCCUGCCUUGAGCUGCAUGACUAUAUCCAGGAAGAUGGAAUACCCUUAGUCACA